GGGGUUGUGGCUCAGUGGUGGAGCGCUUGCCUUGCAUGUGUGAGGCACUGGGUUCAAUCCUCAGCACCA
rnacentral:tRNA from 1 species